rnacentral:rRNA from 1 species
AUUGAACGCUGGCGGCAGGCUUAACACAUGCAAGUCGAGCGAGCGGCGGACGGGUUAGUUAUGUCUGGGAAACUGCCUGAUGGAUGGGGAUAACUACUGGAAACGGUAGCUAAUACCGCAUACCAUCAGAUGUGCCCAGAUGGCAUUAGCUAGUAGGUGGGGUAAUGGCUCACCCAGGCGCCGAUCCCUACCGGGUCUGAGAGGAUGACCAGCCACACUGGAACGGCGACACGGUCCAGACUCCUACGGGAGGCAGCAGGGGGGAAUAUUGCACAAUGGGCGCAAGCCUGAUGCAGCCAUGCCGCGUGUGUGAAGAAGGCCUUCGGGUUGUAAAGCACUUUCAGCGAGGAGGCGUUACUAGCAGAAGAAGCACCGGCUAACUCCGUGCCAGCAGCCGCGGUAAUUC